rnacentral:rRNA from 1 species
UACAGAGGUCUCAAGCGUUGUUCGGAUUCAUUGGGCGUAAAGGGUGCGUAGGUGGCGCUGUAAGUCGGGUGUGAAAUUUCGGAGCUUAACUCCGAAACUGCAUUCGAUACUGCGGUGCUUGAGGACUGGAGAGGAGACUGGAAUUCAUGGUGUAGCAGUGAAAUGCGUAGAGAUCGUAAGGAAGACCAGUGGCGAAGGCGGGUCUCUGGACAGUUCCCGACACUGAGGCACGAAGGCCAGGGGAGCAAACGGG